rnacentral:rRNA from 1 species
UACGUAGGGGGCAAGCGUUGCCCGGAAUCAUUGGGCGUAAAGCGCGUGUAGGCGGCUGGCUAAGUCCGCUCUGAAAGCCCGGGGCUCAACCCCGGGAGGCGGGUGGAUACUGGUCAGCUCGAGUCCGGAAGAGGAGUGUGGAAUUCCUGGUGUAGCGGUGAAAUGCGCAGAUAUCAGGAGGAACACCGAUGGCGAAGGCAGGUCUCUGGGCAUUAACUGACGCUGAGGAGCGAAAGCAUGGGGAGCGAACAGG